UCCUUUCUAUAUUUGACACUGUGAAGCAAACAACGGUACAUACUUGGUGGUGGACAACCUUACGUCAGAUGUCGUGAGCUAGUCCCUACUAUAUGAAACAUAUAAAAAGGCCUGUC
rfam:Muricauda lutaonensis strain CC-HSB-11, complete genome.